rnacentral:rRNA from 1 species
GUCCACGCCGUAACGAUGGAUGCUAGCCGUUGGCGGUUACUCGUCAGUGGCGCAGCUAACGCAUUAAGCAUCCCGCCUGGGAGUACGGUCGCAAGAUUAACUCAAGGAAUUGACGGGCCCGCACAAGCGGUGGAGCAUGUGGUUCAAUUCGAAGCAACGCGAAGAACCUUACCAGCCUUUGACAUGCCUCGUAUGGUCGCCAGAGAUGGCUUCCUUCCGCAAGGGGCGAGAGCACAGGUGCUGCAUGGCUGUCGU